rnacentral:rRNA from 1 species
UACGAAGGGUGCAAGCGUUACUCGGAAUUACUGGGCGUAAAGCGUGCGUAGGUGGUUCUUUAAGUCUGAUGUGAAAGCCCUGGGCUCAACCUGGGAAUGGCAUUGGAUACUGGCGAUCUAGAGUGCGGUAGAGGGCAGUGGAAUUCCCGGUGUAGCAGUGAAAUGCGUAGAGAUCGGGAGGAACAUCUGUGGCGAAGGCGACUGCCUGGACCAGCACUGACACUGAGGCACGAAAGCGUGGGGAGCAAACAGG